GGGUUGUGAGGUUAAGCGACUAAGCGUACACGGUGGAUGCCCUGGCAGUCAGAGGCGAUGAAGGGCGUGCUAAUCUGCGAUAAGCGCCGGUAAGGUGAUAUGAACCGUUAUAACCGGCGAUACCCGAAUGGGGAAACCCAGUGUGAUUCGUCACACUAUCAUUAACUGAAUCCAUAGGUUAAUGAGGCGAACCGGGGGAACUGAAACAUCUAAGUACCCCGAGGAAAAGAAAUCAACCGAGAUUCCCCCAGUAGCGGCGAGCGAACGGGGAGGAGCCCAGAGCCUGAAUCAGCAUGUGUGUUAGUGGAAGCGUCUGGAAAGGCGCGCGAUACAGGGUGACAGCCCCGUACACAAAAGCGCAUGUGCUGUGAGCUCGAUGAGUAGGGCGGGACACGUGGUAUCCUGUCUGAAUAUGGGGGGACCAUCCUCCAAGGCUAAAUACUCCUGACUGACCGAUAGUGAACCAGUACCGUGAGGGAAAGGCGAAAAAGAACCCCGGCGAGGGGAGUGAAAAAGAACCUGAAACCGUGUACGUACAAGCAGUGGGAGCCCCACCACUAAGCCAGUGGUGAACUCCACAUCCGCAUCCUUUGCUGAGGAUACGGUUAACGGAGCGAAAGCGACGUUCAACCGCAAAACAAGCAGAGGGGGCUUAGUGGUGGGGUGACUGCGUACCUUUUGUAUAAUGGGUCAGCGACUUAUAUUCUGUAGCAAGGUUAACCGAAUAGGGGAGCCGGAGGGAAACCGAGUCUUAAUUGGGCGUUAAGUUGCAGGGUAUAGACCCGAAACCCGGUGAUCUAGCCAUGGGCAGGUUGAAGGUUGGGUAACACUAACUGGAGGACCGAACCGACUAAUGUUGAAAAAUUAGCGGAUGACCUGUGGCUGGGGGUGAAAGGCCAAUCAAACCGGGAGAUAGCUGGUUCUCCCCGAAAGCUAUUUAGGUAGCGCCUCGUGAAUUCAUCUCCGGGGGUAGAGCACUGUUUCGGCUAGGGGGCCAUCCCGGCUUACCAACCCGAUGCAAACUGCGAAUACCGGAGAAUGUUAUCACGGGAGACACACGGCGGGUGCUAACGUCCGUCGUGAAGAGGGAAACAACCCAGACCGCCAGCUAAGGUCCCAAAGUCAUGGUUAAGUGGGAAACGAUGUGGGAAGGCCCAGACAGCCAGGAUGUUGGCUUAGAAGCAGCCAUCAUUUAAAGAAAGCGUAAUAGCUCACUGGUCGAGUCGGCCUGCGCGGAAGAUGUAACGGGGCUAAACCAUGCACCGAAGCUGCGGCAGCGAACGUAUCACUUAAAGCGAUUCAGCGGGUUACGAUUGACGGAGCGAAGCGACGUCAAAGCGUAUACAAAGUCGAGUCGGUUUAAGGAUACGUUCGUUGGGUAGGGGAGCGUUCUGUAAGCCCGUGAAGGUGGCCUGUGAGGGUUGCUGGAGGUAUCAGAAGUGCGAAUGCUGACAUAAGUAACGAUAAAGCGGGUGAAAAGCCCGCUCGCCGGAAGACCAAGGGUUCCUGUCCAACGUUAAUCGGGGCAGGGUGAGUCGACCCCUAAGGCGAGGCCGAAAGGCGUAGUCGAUGGGAAACGGGUUAAUAUUCCCGUACUUGGUGUUACUGCGAAGGGGGGACGGAGAAGGCUAUGUUGGCCGGGCGACGGUUGUCCCGGUUUAAGCGUGUAGGUGUGUGUUCCAGGUAAAUCCGGUUCACUUUAACACUGAGGCGUGACGACGAGGCACUACGGUGCUGAAGCAACAAAUGCCCUGCUUCCAGGAAAAGCCUCUAAGCAUCAGGUAACACGAAAUCGUACCCCAAACCGACACAGGUGGUCAGGUAGAGAAUACCAAGGCGCUUGAGAGAACUCGGGUGAAGGAACUAGGCAAAAUGGUGCCGUAACUUCGGGAGAAGGCACGCUGACACGUAGGUGAAGUGAUUUACUCAUGGAGCUGAAGUCAGUCGAAGAUACCAGCUGGCUGCAACUGUUUAUUAAAAACACAGCACUGUGCAAACACGAAAGUGGACGUAUACGGUGUGACGCCUGCCCGGUGCCGGAAGGUUAAUUGAUGGGGUCAGCGCAAGCGAAGCUCCUGAUCGAAGCCCCGGUAAACGGCGGCCGUAACUAUAACGGUCCUAAGGUAGCGAAAUUCCUUGUCGGGUAAGUUCCGACCUGCACGAAUGGCGUAAUGAUGGCCAGGCUGUCUCCACCCGAGACUCAGUGAAAUUGAACUCGCUGUGAAGAUGCAGUGUACCCGCGGCAAGACGGAAAGACCCCGUGAACCUUUACUAUAGCUUGACACUGAACAUUGAGCCUUGAUGUGUAGGAUAGGUGGGAGGCUUUGAAGUGUGGACGCCAGUCUGCAUGGAGCCGACCUUGAAAUACCACCCUUUAAUGUUUGAUGUUCUAACGUGGACCCGUAAUCCGGGUUGCGGACAGUGUCUGGUGGGUAGUUUGACUGGGGCGGUCUCCUCCUAAAGAGUAACGGAGGAGCACGAAGGUUGGCUAAUCCUGGUCGGACAUCAGGAGGUUAGUGCAAUGGCAUAAGCCAGCUUGACUGCGAGCGUGACGGCGCGAGCAGGUGCGAAAGCAGGUCAUAGUGAUCCGGUGGUUCUGAAUGGAAGGGCCAUCGCUCAACGGAUAAAAGGUACUCCGGGGAUAACAGGCUGAUACCGCCCAAGAGUUCAUAUCGACGGCGGUGUUUGGCACCUCGAUGUCGGCUCAUCACAUCCUGGGGCUGAAGUAGGUCCCAAGGGUAUGGCUGUUCGCCAUUUAAAGUGGUACGCGAGCUGGGUUUAGAACGUCGUGAGACAGUUCGGUCCCUAUCUGCCGUGGGCGCUGGAGAACUGAGGGGGGCUGCUCCUAGUACGAGAGGACCGGAGUGGACGCAUCACUGGUGUUCGGGUUGUCAUG
rnacentral:rRNA from 1 species